rnacentral:tmRNA from 1 species
GGGGGCGACUUGGCUUCGACGUGGGUAGCAAAACCUAGAGUGCAUGCCGAGGACAGUACACCUCGUAAAAUCUACUGAAACUUAAGUAUUCGCAAAUGACGAAAACUACUCAAUGGCUUUAGCUGCUUAAUAACAGCACCAUUCCUUUGACCAUCUGUGCUUAUGCGGGUGGAGUUUAAAUGCUUCGGCAAGAGAACGUUCAGAGGUCAUUCACAUAAGAUCGCGCUGAAGUCUGUCCGGAAUGGAUGCGCUAAAACCCUACGGAAUCGUUGGUGACCUUUUUGGCUCGUCGGAAUGUCACUGACUAAAUCAAAGAACGAGAUAAGCAUGUAGACCUUGUGGCGGAGUGCUUACGGACGGGGGUUCAAUUCCCCCCGCCUCCACCA